rnacentral:rRNA from 1 species
AUGUUUUCGAGAUCUUCCCAGGGCAAGCACAUGGUUUACAGAAAUGCGACAAGCAGUUUGGAAGUGCUUUGCCUGCGAUGCGAAUCGGGCAGCAAGGUGAAAUGUGUUGUAGUAUUUCUUUUCGCGAGAGGAGGGGAGCUUGUUUGUAUUUCUCGUUUAAUGCUUUUCUGGCCAUUGUUGCCACUGUAUUCCUCCUCAUGUAUCCUGGGAAGACAUCGAAAACUCAGACGGAUGUCAGGGCGCAAGCGAAGCAUGAAUAAGCCAACAAGAUGGCAGUUGUUAUUAUCUAAAAAAGAAGUUGUUGAUGUCAUUGAUCUCAUUGAUGAAUGUGAUCAGUAA